rnacentral:ncRNA from 20 species
UUCUUAUCAAGAGCGGUGGAGGGACUGGCCCUAUGAAACCCGGCAACCAGUAUAUAUUUUAUACAUGGUGCUAAAUCCUGCAGAUUUAACUGAAAGAUGAGAA